AUUGAACGCUGGCGGCAGGCCUAACACAUGCAAGUCGAGCGAGCGGCGGACGGGUGCGUACUGUCCGGGAAACUGCCUGAUGGAGGCGGAUAACUACUGGAAACGGUAGCUAAUCCCGCAUACCAUCAGAUGUGCCCAGAUGGGAUUAGCUAGUAGGUGGGGUAACGGCUCACCUAGGCGACGAUCCCUAGCUGGUCUGAGAGGAUGACCAGCCACACUGGAACUGAGACACGGGCCAGACUCCUACGGGAGGCAGCAGUGGGGAAUAUUGCACAAUGGGCGCAAGCCUGACGCAGCCAUGCCGCGUGUGUGAAGAAGGCCUUCGGGUUGUAAAGCACUGUCAGCGGGGAGGCGGUACCCGCAGAGGAAGCACCGGCUAACUCCGUGCCAGCCGCCGCGGUAAUAC
rnacentral:rRNA from 1 species